ACCGGCGCACGGGUGAGUAACACGUAUGCAACCUGGCCGUGACAGAUGGAUAACCGGGAGAAAUCCCGCCUAAUACAACAUAAUGCCGGGAGGGGACAUCCCCUGCCGGCCAAAGGGGGCGACCCCGGUCACGGAUGGGCAUGCGGCGCAUUAGGUAGUUGGUGGGGCAACGGCCCACCAAGCCGACGAUGCGUAGGGGUUCUGAGAGGAAGGUCCCCCACAUUGGAACUGAGACACGGUCCAAACUCCUACGGAAGGCAGCAG
rnacentral:rRNA from 1 species